rnacentral:lncRNA from 1 species
ACUACCGCUCCCUAGCGGUAGUACCGCUCCGUCGGACUGUUUUUUGCAUCCUUUUUGGCCUCAGCAUGGUUGGUGAACCUACCGAGCGGUAGUACCGCUCUGUGUGGGCUGUGAGGCAUAACGGUUGGAUUUUUUCCCACCUAUAAAAGGGGGUCUUCUUCCCCAUUGAACCUUAUCUAUUUAGCUCGUGUUCUUCCCCCAUUGUUGACCUUCUUCGAGCUUGCUAACUCCCAAUCCCUCCAAUGAUUCUUGCUAGUUCUUGAGGGAAAAGAGAGAGGAGAUCUAGAUCCACAUUUCCACCAAUCACUUUCUCCUCUAAGUAAGGGGAACCCCUUGGGUCUAGAUCUUGGAGUUCUUCGUGUUCUUA